GGGGAAUUGUUCGCAAUGGGCGCAAGCCUGACGACGCAACGCCGCGUGGAGGAUGAAGGUCUUCGGAUUGUAAACUCCUGUUGACCGGGAAGAACAGGUUUCAACCUAAUACGUUGGAGCACUGACGGUACCGGUUGAGGAAGCCACGGCUAACUCUGUGCCAGCAGCCGCGGUAAUACAGAGGGUGCGAGCGUUAAUCGGAUUUACUGGGCGUAAAGGGCGCGUAGGCGGUUCAAUGAGUGUGAUGUGAAAGCCCUGGGCUCAACCUAGGAAGUGCAUCGCAAACGAUUGAACUGGAGUAUAUGAGAGGGUGGUGGAAUUUCCGGUGUAGCAGUGAAAUGCGUAGAGAUCGGAAAGAACGUCGAUGGCGAAGGCAGCCACCUGGCAUAAUACUGACGCUGAGGCGCGAAAGCGUGGGGAUCAAA
rnacentral:rRNA from 1 species